AUUUUAAACCACGACCUUACCUACCUAUUGACAAGGUCAGCAGUGACAACUCAUUAUUCUUGUCAUUUCUCCCCCAACUUGUUUUUCCUUUAAAGAAGUGUUUCAUCAGAUACUUCAAUGCCAGAAAACAGUAAGUCGUUUUGGUCUUCGUUCAUUUCCACAUAAUUGAUCACUUUCUUCUCUCAUGCUAGAUUCAUCCUCUUGUAAAAAUACCCCUGAAAAUAAUAAUCCGUCUGCAGGUACUUGAUCGCCGAUCUUCAAGCAAACCACGUAUCGAACAACAAUGUCCAAUAUGGAUAUAUUGAUGCCUCCAACAAUUAUCCAAAUCUGACGCUGUUGUUGGAGACGAGGUUUGUUUGAAGAUCGGCAAUCAAGCACCUGCAGACGGAUUAUUUUUUUCAGUGGUAUUUUUACAAGAGGAUGAAUCUAGCAUGAGAGAAGAAAGUGAUCGAUCAUGUUGAAAUGAAUCAAGCUCAAAAUCCCUUCUCGUUUUCUGGCACACAGGUAACUGAUGGGUUUCAUACGAAUGAACACAGCUUGGAGAGAAAUGGUAAGCACAUUUUAGUCGAGAAUCAAAAUUGAGCAAACUUCGCAUCUUCAAACUCGAUUAAACAGGCCGACUUCAUCAAUAGGUAUGGUUGGCUUAGAAGUAGCAUUACUAGUACUUGUCGUGCUGUUGGUUCGACUAUUCUUGGGGAACUCAACAGAUGAACACUUACGGGAUUAAAGAGUUCAAAUUCAAUGAAAUGUUGAUGAUGUGAUCAAUGGUGUAUUUGGAAUUCUUGCUGCUGCAGUAAAAAUUGUAAUCUUUGCAAUUCCACAAGGAUUGACUUCGGUAGUCACACACUCUUGCAUAUUCUAUGAGCCUAUGGUUCUCUUCUUUUUGAAUGCUUCUAUACAUUCAUUUCGGUUUUGGUAACUUGUCAAGUGUGUCAUAUAGUGCACGUAAUAAUACCGUAAGGGCAUAAUUGAAGAGCUGAAUGAAGUAUGGUAGUGUAAAAGAGUCAAGUCCAUGAGAUCUAGCUCGGAAAGAAAGCUUGUGCAGAAACUGUUUGUGUGUCGAACAAAGACACUUAUGAAGUGUAGCUGCAUCUUGGCUUCUUGGUUGGCAUUACAGUGCAAGAAAGAUUGAUAUUGUUACAUGGAUUGGAAGAACUUCACAAUUAUGUAUUUAUAUAAGGAUCGAUUCACAAUAUUACUGCUUUUCAUCUGUAAUUUCGAAAAACCAAUAGAAUGAUUGUGUUAUUUGUAAUUUUUUAAAAAUAUAUAUCAUAUUUCAUGAUUUUUCU
rnacentral:lncRNA from 1 species